rnacentral:rRNA from 1 species
GACGAACGUUGGCGGCGUGCUUAAUACAUGCAAGUCAACUGAAGCAGUGGUAGCAAUAUCGCUGUGGAGGUGGCGCACGGGUGAGUAACACGUAGGUAAUCUGCCUUCAGGUCUGGCAUAACUCCGGGAAACCGGGGCUAAUAGCAGAUGAUGCAGCGGCUCGACAUCGAGACAGUUGUUAAAGCUAUGGCGCCUGAAGAUGAGCCUGCGUCUGAUUAGCUAGUUGGCGGGGUAACGGCCCACCAAGGCAACGAUCAGUAGCUGGUCUGAGAGGAUGAUCAGCCACACUGGAACUGAGACACGGUCCAGACUACUACGGGAGGCAGCAGUAAGGAAUAUUGCUCGAUGGGAGAAAUCCUGAAGCAGCAACGCCGCGUGAGGGACGAAGGGCUUUUGCUUGUAAACCUCUGUAGUGAGAGAAAAAAAUCCCAAUCUUUGGGACAUGAUGGUAUCUCAAAAGUAAGCCCCGGCUAACUACGUG